rfam:Trichoderma virens Gv29-8 TRIVIscaffold_1, whole genome shotgun sequence.
ACAUACGACCACAUCUAUGGAAUAUACGGGAUCCCAUCCGCUCUCCCAGAGUCAACCCAAUAAGAGGCAGGUUAAUAGUCAGUGGCGCGCACCGACUGUUGUAUGUU